CGAUGUCCAGGAAGAAGAAAAAGGGUUCAAACCCUAGUCUCUCUAAAAUCUUCAAAUUGGAAGGCUAAAUGAAGCUUAAAUUCAUAACCGAGCCUGGAUUAAUGAUCACCUUCACAAGGGGAUCAUAAGUAUAGGGAUCAUGUCAAGAUAGAUGGAAGCAUGGAAGGUUAACGGGUAAAAAGGAGGCGAGGAAACGGAUGCGAAUACGAACACUUAAGGUUAGUCAGAUAUUCAUGAUGGACAAGUGAACGAGGGUCGAGUUAAAGAUCAUGGAUUGUACGGGAAAGUGGUCACGUUGUUUGUAAUUAUUUGUUAACAUAGUUACAUUAAAUAAAUGAUGAAUGAUGUAUUUAUGUU